UCCACAGUGAAUGACGAGUGGGCCUCGUUACAAGUCGGGUCAAGAGAAUGGCGUGGCUCUCGUCCAAUUCUGUGUAACAGAAGCAACAAGCCCUAGAUCAACGAGGGGUAAAAGGGAAAAAGUAACGCAGCAGCCUUAUCUCCUCGCUCACUCCCUCCUCUCUCUCCCACGCCGCCCCUUCCCUCUCCCCGCUCGUCUCCUCAUCUCCUCUUUCCUCGACGCCGGCUCCCCUGCUUGCCUCUCCGACCUAGGCCAGAGCCUCGCCGGUCGCUCCCCCCAGCCGGCGCCCACUAGCUGCUUGCGUGGAGGGGAGCUUCUCCGAUGGUGACGGCGACCACCAUCCAGGCCUCCUUGCUCACCUUGGAGAUGCAGAGGAGGAGGAGCCGCGCCUGCGGGAGCUCUCCACGGAGGAGGAGAUUUCGUGGCGGUGGUGCGGAGCGUACGGCAGUGGAGGGGCUGGAGAGACCGGGCCCACAUCGCUGAAGCAGUGGGCGUGGAGCAGGGGAGGAUGAGGGCGAUGGGCAUGAGGGAAGGAGCAGCGAGGUCGGAGUUCCAGGGGAUGCCGGCCGUCGUCACAUGUCCCCAGUAUCUGAGGAACAAAAAGAAGGGGAUGAAUCUUGAGGAAGAGCUUGGCUAAGAACAAGAUCCGAGGAACAAAAAUAAGGGGAUGAAUCUUGAGGAAGAGCUUGGAUAAGAACAAGGUGUUCGUAAUGGCAACAGUUGUAAUCAACGAUGAGAAAAAGGGACUGAGAUUGGAUUUGUACUAGGCAUGUUCCUCAUCUCUCUCAGUCCUUGUUCCUAUCCCCACCCUGAUGUAACUGUUUCUUCACAACUGUUGGAUGUGUCUUAGGAGAUAAAUGCCAUGAAUUGUUUAGAUUCUUGUUGAGCUAACCACUAACAAAUUGUUUGUCCCCUUGUUAAAGCUAAUCAUAGUAAUAUCUGGUAAUCGUCCCAGUCAAAAAAAAAUAUCUGGUAAUCGUCCGGCUGAUGUGUAUGGUGGCAACCAAAUUCAUGUUGAUGAACUGAAUCAAAUCUGUAGUAAAGUUAGUGUUAAAUCACACAUGUGUACAUUCAGGUUUAAUACACUCGAGCAGUUUUGUCACAUCUGUGGAUUUAGUAUGACAAGAAAAUUACUUGGAAACCCUCUUCUUCACGUCUAGCGGCCGACGCAGCUCUCGUGCCCUCCCAGCGCUGCCGGUCGGGAGCUUCUCCAUCCUACGCCGCUGCCUCGUAUCGGCUGUGCGAAGGAGCGCGGCGAGCAGCAGGAGCUCACCGCGUGCGUGGAGUUGUGUGGACUCCCUGCACCGCAGCUGCCUCUUUGCCAUUGCUGCGAUGCCUCACCGGCCAUGGAUCUGCUGCAGAUGGAGAGUGCCAAUGGGGCCGCCGCCGAUGGGAAGUGCGAACAGAGAAAGGAUGUGGUCGUCGCCAUCGCAAGAAGGUUCAUGGUUUUACUCCUGGAGUGGUGUAUUCCUUGAUGAUAUGUUGAUGCGGUCCGCUUGGUGUUCUUGUUUGCUGUUCUUACUUGACAAUAGAGAAAAGAAAUAUCAUCUUUGAAAUGCUUGGAAUCGAUAGAUCAUUCAUGCCGUGGUUGGAUGCAAAUUAAGAACUAUUGGCAUCAGUGAAGAUUUGGGCAGUAGCUAGGGAGGGAUUGCUGGAGUGGAAACAUGGCAAGAACCGGAAAGAGCUCAAGAUUUUGCUACUACCUUGCUAAUAAAUUUGUGAGGUUGCUUUAUGGAAGUAUUUACAGGCUUGCCAUGACAAGGAAUGCAUCAAUAAUCUUGGUAUAAAAUUUAUUUGGAUGGUUCAGAACCUUCAGAUGGCAUGGCUGAGAUAUAGUUUGUUGUAUUCAGUUUUUUUUUCAUCGUCACAGGUUAUAUGAUUUGUACAUGGCGGUGUUACUGAACAGAAGGAGGUAAUUUCUUCGCUCUUUCUAUUGAUUAAUAUUGUUCUUCACUCUUUCUAAACUAUUGAAUUUAUUAAUAUUAUUCUUGCACAAAUUAAUUAAUGAUUAUAUCAUCUUUUGGUCACUCGAGUAAGAUAGAACAUGAUGAUCCUCUCUUAAUUUGGUUUCUCCUCCGCUGAAGAAUAUAGGAAUCACCAGCAACCCUUCUCUAGUUCCGAGGAAGUGCUCAACCUAGAUGUUGUUGGCCGAAGGAGGGGCGGAGCAGGUGCCGGUCAAGUAGGCGGCUCAAUGGGUGGGAGAUGGCAGCUGCCGAUCUCACACGGCUCAUGCGCCCCGCGACCCUCCCCUCCCCGGCUAAGUAGGAGGUUCGAGGGCAGCGACUAAGGAAGGAGCACAUCGGCGAUGAGGGCUAGCAAUAGCAAGACAAUUGCCAGGUGCAGUCGAUAUGCCGCCACGUCGGCCCUUCACGCGCGCCCGCCAGGGUCGGGACCUUUUUCAGAGCAAUGCGUAGUGUUUCCUUUAUUGUUGUUGUUUCUGAUGUCCUUGAUAUUCCUUUGCCAUAUGAUUUUUGAUCAUUUUCUCGCUCAUUCCUAGAGGAGCGCUAUGGAUAAUAUGAUCGAGAUGACUAAGAUACAUGCUUUUUGUUUACUUGGCAUCUGCUUCUCUUAAUUUUUCUACAACCCUUCCUUUACAUGCUGGUAUGUUUUGUUGCCAGGCUCAGAUCGGCGAGACCCGUGCCAAUGCACGAGGUACAAUAUUGGUUAAUUUUCCAUCUCCAAUCAGAUUAAUGGUUUGCAUGCAGACCAAGCCCAGUGUUUUAUGGUGUUCUUAUUCCUGAUUUAGUUGUACAUUUGACUUUUAGUUUCUUCAUAGAUAAUAAAGUAGUGGCAGAUGAAACAGUAAGUUAUCUGUGCCCAUUCUUUGCUGUAAGCAUUAAAUUUGCUCUCUGCUUUUACUUUCAAUGUGUUAUCCGUACCCCUGUUUUUUGUAGCUAAUUAUUAUGGUGUUCUUAUUCCUGAUUUAGUUGUAUAUUUGACUUUUAGUUUCUUCAUAGAUAAUAAAGUAGUGGCAGAUGAACCAGUAAGUUAUCUGUGCCCAUUCUUUGCUAGUCCAUGGUAUCAUACGAUUUGAAGUUGAAAAAAUCAUGCUAUGGGUGAUACGGAAAAGUCAUUGCCUUCUUUGCUGGAACAUUUCCUAAGAUGAUCUAAGGUGAAGCAUUUAUGAAUAUCCUCGCUGAUCUAUGGAUCUAUCAUUGUAAGAGUCGAUAAUAUAUGGUGAGCUGCCUCACACCAUCAUUUGGUCUUUGUAGCAUUUGAGUUGGCAAAUUUGUUGGAUUCAUGCGAUUAGGCAUGCCAUGUAAAUCAAUCUGCAAUGGGAAAUGGGAGUUUGCAAACUACCGGAGUCUAAUUGCUGAGGGACGAGGUUCGUAACUGAGGGUCAUGUGCAGAGCUGGAGGAAGAAGUUGCGAGGCUUGGAACUCUCCUUGUGAAGGGCUCAAGGACAACACCGAGGACAAUGCCUCUUUAGUUGUAAUUGUGAUACUCCUGAUGUGCAAGUAAACAUUCCUGUGAUACUGCUUAUGCUAAAAUGUUGGUUGUUAGUACAGAGGUGGUGACAUUAUUUGGUUCUCUGAUAUUGCUUUCAUGAUUUGUAAUAUAAUCCACAUUGCAUUA